rnacentral:rRNA from 1 species
GACGAACGCUGGCGGCGUGCUUAACACAUGCAAGUCGAACGAAGUGGCGAACGGGUGAGUAACGCGUAAUCAACCUGCCCUUCAGAGGGGGACAACAGUUAGAAACGACUGCUAAUACCGCAUACUGAAGGAGGGGAUUGCGUCUGAUUAGCUAGUUGGGGGGGUAACGGCCCACCAAGGCGAUGAUCAGUAGCCGGUCCGGGGGGAAGGACGGCCACAUUGGGAACGGGACACGGCCCCGACUCCUUCGGGAGGCAGCAGUUGGGAAUCUUUCGCAAUGGACGGAAGUCUGACUGAGCAACGGCGCGUGAGUGAUGACGGCCUUCGGGUUGUAAAGCUCUUUUAAGCGGGACGCGGUACCGGAAUAGAAAGCCACGGCUAACUACGUGCCAGCAGCCGCGGUAAUAC